GAUGAACGCUGGCGGCGUGCUUAACACAUGCAAGUCGAACGGAAAGGCCCAAGCUUGCUUGGGUACUCGAGUGGCGAACGGGUGAGUAACACGUGGGUGAUCUGCCCUGCACUUCGGGAUAAGCCUGGGAAACUGGGUCUAAUACCGGAUAGGUCCACAUUUUGGAUGGUGUGGUGGAAAGUUUUUCGGUGUGGGAUGAGCUCGCGGCCUAUCAGCUUGUUGGUGGGGUAAUGGCCUACCAAGGCGUCGACGGGUAGCCGGCCUGAGAGGGUGUACGGCCACAUUGGGACUGAGAUACGGCCCAGACUCCUACGGGAGGCAGCAGUGGGGAAUAUUGCACAAUGGGCGCAAGCCUGAUGCAGCGACGCCGCGUGGGGGAUGACGGCCUUCGGGUUGUAAACUCCUUUCGCUAGGGACGAAGCGUUUUUGUGACGGUACCUGGAGAAGAAGCACCGGCUAACUACGUG
rnacentral:rRNA from 1 species